AGCUCCCUACGGGGGGCAGCAGUGGGGGAUAUUGCACAAUGGGGGGAACCCUGAUGCAGCGACGCCGCGUGGGUGAAGGAGCGUUUCGGCGCGUAAAGCCCUAUCGGCAGGGAAGAAGAUGACGGUACCUGCCCAAGAAGCCCCGGCUAACUACGUGCCAGCAGCCGCGGUAAUACGUAGGGGGCAAGCGUUAUCCGGAUUUACUGGGUGUAAAGGGGGCGCAGACGGAAAUGCAAGCCAGGAGUGAAAGCCCGAGGCCCAAACC
rnacentral:rRNA from 1 species